rnacentral:tRNA from 1 species
GCGGGCGUGGCGGAAUCCGGCAGACGCACCAGGCUUAGGACCUGGUGGGCCGAAAGGUCCGUGGGGGUUCAAAUCCCUCCGCCCGCA